UACGUAGGGGGCAAGCGUUAUCCGGAUUUACUGGGUGUAAAGGGAGCGUAGGUGGUAUGGCAAGUCAGAAGUGAAAACCCUGUGCUUAACACAGGGAUUGCUUUUGAAACUGUCGCACUUGAGUGCAGGAGAGGUAAGCGGAAUUCCUAGUGUAGCGGUGAAAUGCGUAGAUAUUAGGAGGAACACCAGUGGCGAAGGCGGCUUACUGGACUGUAACUGACACUGAGGCUCGAAAGCGUGGGGAGCAAACAGG
rnacentral:misc_RNA from 1 species